UUGUAGUGAGGGCUGAUAAUAAUAGUGGGUGCAGGUGAAUUAUGGGAGUUGUAGUGAGGGCUGAUAAUAAUAGUGGGUGCAGGUGAAUUAUGGGAGUUGUAGUGAGAGCUGAUAAUAGUGGGAGGAGGUGAAUUAUGGGAGUUGUAGUGAGGGCUGAUAAUAGUGGGUGCAGGUGAAUUAUGGGAGUUGUAGUGAGAGCUGAUAAUAGUGGGUGCAGGUGAAUUAUGGGAGUUGUAGUGAGAGCUGAUAAUAGUGGGUGCAGGUGAAUUAUGGGAGUUGUAGUGAGGGCUGAUAACAGUGGGUGCAGGUGAAUUAUGGGAGUUGUAGUGAGGGUUGAUAAUAGUGGGUGCAGGUGAAUUGUGGGAGUUGUAGUGAGGGCUGAUAAUAAUUGUGGGUGCAGGUGAAUUAUGGGAGUUGUAGUGAGGGCUGAAAAUAGUGGGUGCAGGUGAAUUAUGGGAGUUGUAGUGAGGG